GCUGCUAUAGACGAACUGGUUAAGUCGUCACCCUUUCACGGUGAAGAGUUCGGGUUCGAAUCCCGAUGGCAGUA
rnacentral:tRNA from 1 species